GCUGGAAUGCUUUCUGUACUCAAGGGAG
rnacentral:piRNA from 1 species